GCAGAGGUGGUUCAGUGGUAGAACUCUCGCCUUCCACGUGGGAGAUCCAGGUUCGAUUCUGGCCAGUGCA
rnacentral:tRNA from 1 species